UUCUAAGGCUAUGAAAAAAACUAACCAUCCUUAAAGAAUUUAUAUCGGCAUUAGUAAUUCUAAUAUUUAUUUCUUAGAGCAAAACCACUAAUUGUUAGUUAAACUCUUUUUUUAUUAUACAAUGCUUUUACUGAUAAAAGUUCUAUCCUCAUUUUAAUAAAAGAUUAUUUAAGUUUCUAUCUAAUGAAUUUUACGGAUUUGCUAACGUAUUAUUAAUUGAGUAACCUUUUUCAAAAUUGUCCCUAAUGCUGUGAAACCAAUACUAAUUUCAACACAAAUAACUAAAACUUUAAUUAUCUUCUUUUUCAUUAGCUUUUAUCUCGAAAACAAAAAU
rnacentral:misc_RNA from 1 species